rnacentral:rRNA from 1 species
CCGGCCGGCGCACGGUGAGUAACGCGUAUGCAACUUACCUAUCAGAGGGGGAUAACCCGGCGAAAGUCGGACUAAUACCGCAUGAAGCAGGGGCCCCCCAUGGGGAUAUUUGCUAAAGAUUCAUCGCUGAUAGAUAGGCAUGCGUUCCAUUAGGCAGUUGGCGGGGUAACGGCCCACCAAACCGACGAUGGAUAGGGGUUCUGAGAGGAAGGUCCCCCACAUUGGUACUGAGACACGGACCAA